AAGACUACACUUUAGGAAACUAUUUCUAAAGUUCAUGACUAGAGAAGUUUUUUUAGUCGUGCAGAUUACAAGAAAUUACGAGAAGUCAUAAUUCUCUUCUAGGCAUGAAGCCAGUUCUAGGUGUUGCUUUUAUAAUUUUCUUUUAAAACUACCCUUUACCCUUAAUAGAUAGUUAUUUUAUUUCCUUAGAAAGGGAGAAGGAAAGUACCAGAGGAAA